GACGAACGCUGGCGGCGUGCUUAACACAUGCAAGUCGACAUGAGUGGCGAACGGGUGAGUAAUAAGUGGGUAACCUGCCCUCCUUUUUAGGAUAAGCAUUAGAAACGAGGUCUAAUACCACAGAUAGGGGGAUGGGAUCGGGGCCUAUCAGUUGGUUGGUGGGGUGAUGGCCUACCAAGGCGGUGACGGGUAGCCGGCCUGAGAGGGUGACCGGCCACGUUGGGACGGACAUACGCCCCAGACUGCUACGAGAGGGAGCAGUGGGGGAUAUGGCAGAAUGGUCGACGGGCUGAUGCGGCGACGCCGCGUGGGGGAUGAGGGCGUUCGGGUUGGAUACUUAGUUCGAUAGCGAACGGGUAGGUGGAGAAGAAGCGCCGGCUAACUACGUGCCAGCAGCCGCGGUAAUAC
rnacentral:rRNA from 1 species